rnacentral:rRNA from 1 species
UACGGGGGAUGCAAGCGUUAUCCGGAAUCAUUGGGCGUAAAGCGCCUGUAGGUUGUUUAAUAAGUCUGUUGUUAAAGACUAGGGCUCAACCCUAGAGAAGCAAUGGAAACUACUAGACUAGAGUAUGGUAGGGGUAGAGGGAAUUUCUAGUGUAGCGGUGAAAUGCGUAGAUAUUAGAAAGAACACCAGUGGCGAAAGCGCUCUACUGGACCAUUACUGACACUCAGAGGCGAAAGCUAGGGUAGCAAAAGGGAUUAGAUACCCCUGUAGUCCUAGCCGUAAACGAUGGAUACUAGAUGUUGCGCAUUGUGUGCAGUAUCCUAGCUAACGCGUUAAGUAUCCCGCCUGGGGAGUACGCUCGCAAGGGUG